rnacentral:rRNA from 1 species
AUUGAACGCUGGCGGCAGGCCUAACACAUGCAAGUCGAACGGUAACAGGAAGCAGCUUGCUGCUUUGCUGACGAGUGGCGGACGGGUGAGUAAUGUCUGGGAAACUGCCUGAUGUCGGGGGAUAACUACUGGAAACGGUAGCUAAUACCGCAUAAUGUCGCUAGACCAAAGAGGGGGACCUUCGCGCCUCUUGCCCUCUUGUGUGCCCAGAUGGGAUUAGCUAGUAGGUGGGGUAAAGGCUCACCUAGGCGACGAUCCCUAGCUGGUCUGAGAGGAUGACCAGCCACACUGGAACUGAGACACGGUCCAGACUCCUACGGGAGGCAGCAGUGGGGAAUAUUGGACAAUGGGCGCAAGCCUGAUGCAGCCAUGCCGCGUGUAUGAAGAAGGCCUUCGGGUUGUAAAGUACUUUCAGCGGGGAGGAAGGGAGUAAAGUUAAUACCUUUGCGCAUUGACGGUACCCGCAGAAGAAGCACCGGCUAACUCCGUG